rnacentral:rRNA from 1 species
UACAGAGGUCCCAAGCGUUGUUCGGAUUCACUGGGCGUAAAGGGUGCGUAGGUGGUCAGGUAAGUCGGAUGUGAAAUCUCCGAGCUCAACUCGGAAAUGGCAUUGGAAACUACCUGGCUCGAGGGUUGGAGGGGGGACUGGAAUGCUUGGUGUAGCAGUGAAAUGCGUAGAUAUCAAGCGGAACACCAGUGGCGAAGGCGAGUCCCUGGACAACUCCUGACACUGAGGCACGAAAGCUAGGGGAGCAAACAGG